AAAUUGAAGAGUUUGAUCAUGGCUCAGAUUGAACGCUGGCGGCAGGCCUAACACAUGCAAGUCGAACGGUAACAGGAAACAGCUUGCUGUUUCGCUGACGAGUGGCGGACGGGUGAGUAAUGUCUGGGAAGCUGCCUGAUGGAGGGGGAUAACUACUGGAAACGGUAGCUAAUACCGCAUAAUGUCGCAAGACCAAAGAGGGGGACCUUCGGGCCUCUUGCCAUCGGAUGUGCCCAGAUGGGAUUAGCUAGUAGGUGGGGUAACGGCUCACCUAGGCGACGAUCCCUAGCUGGUCUGAGAGGAUG
rnacentral:rRNA from 1 species